UACGUAGGGGGCAAGCGUUAUCCGGAAUCAUUGGGCGUAAAGGGUGCGUAGGCGGUUAUGUAAGUUAGAGGUGAAAGGCUACGGCUCAACCGUAGUAAGCCUUUAAAACUGCAUAACUUGAGUGCAGGAGAGGAGAGUGGAAUUCCUAGUGUAGCGGUGAAAUGCGUAGAUAUUAGGAGGAACACCAGUGGCGAAGGCGACUCUCUGGACUGUAACUGACGCUGAGGCACGAAAGCGUGGGGAGCGAACAGG
rnacentral:rRNA from 1 species